UUCUGCACCGCCCAACCGCCGCAAGUCUCCUACCUCUGCGUCCAUGCCACCGACUACGACCACACCGCCUUCGCCUACCCGCCUCACAUAGUCGCCACAGAGACUGAGGGCGGCCUCGUCCUUCUAUCCGUCGUAGUCGGUGGCCGCCCAUCCUAUGCCUCGCUUCGCCUCAAACAACACUACUUUGUCUACAACGCAAGCGUCCCUGAGCUCAAGCACAUCAAGCAGCCGGGCGACGACCACCCAGUCAACGAUCACUCCUUUGCCAUUGUGAGCAAUGGCAAACCUGACUGCACCUUCGUCCUUGCCGCACAAGCUGAUAGGUUUGGGCAUGGCAAUCCUUCUCACCUCUGCCUGUAUCAAUCUGGUACCAACUCCUGGAGCAAAGUGCUGGUGAAUGUCGAUUCAGUCCCCUACCAGCUCACCACAUACAAGGCAAUCACCAUAAAAGGAGAUUUAGGCCUAGUAGCCUGGGUCGAUCUCUCACAUAUGAUCACCUUCUGCAACGUGCUGGACAAAAGCCCCAUCGCUGCCUAAGCUGAACGUCCAUGAAGGUGUCACAGCUCAGCCAACCUUGUCGACUCUCGACAUUGGCCUGCCCAAGCUGAGUCUCCAAGAUGAUUGCAUUCUUUACCUCCUAGCCAAGAUUGACUAUCGUGACAAGGAACACACAGCAUGGGUGCUUGCUGUUGACAUGAAGAACAAGACUGUCCAGAGAGUGGCCGAGUUUAGCCCCAAAAGGUCUAUCGCCUUGUCCACCGGCUACGAUUCAAGUAGGAUCUCCAAAUAUCUCAAAGUUGGUCCAGAAACCCACCUAAUGUGGAUUGUUCAGAUAGUCCAUAUCAGCAGCACUACUUCAUUCAUCAAGAGAAGCUAGUAUAGAGCCAUUAUGCCUCCAUGAAGUUUGCACCUGGCAUCCUGGUAGCAACCAAGACUGGAAGUGACACCGACAUUGACCGAGAAGCAUUCAAGAUUAUAAAAGGAGUUGGGAUAUACAUUUUUAUUGAAGUUCUUGGCUGCUGAGAUGUGUAUCUUUCAGGAGGGUACCACUCAAUCCAUAUGUCCAUCCCUACAAUACUGCAGCAGAAAGACAAAAUUUAAAACUACAUCUCAUUGGCUACUCUCCAGAUUUGAGCGUCACCUUUUGUGCAUUCGCAUCAAAGAAGAGAAGAGUAGGAGCUAGCAUACCUGCCAAUGGGCUGAUGAUGGUGAAGUAGCCCGCAAUUACACACAACUCUGACACGGGAAGCCGGCUCCUCCGCGCUGCUGAGAUAUGGGAAACAAUGGACUAAUAAGUCUCAAUGGACGACUACUAUUUUUGAGCAGGUUUGCAGAGAGAAAGACGAACUUGGUUUGACAUGUGCUUUUCUUGAACAGUUCUACGCGGGGAAUGAAGGUACUCGAGUGGUUUGCGAUGCUUA